GGGUGUUUAGCUCAGUUUGGUUAGAGCGCCACGUUGACAUCGUGGAGGUCGUAGGUUCAACUCCUACAACACCCACCA
rnacentral:tRNA from 1 species